rnacentral:rRNA from 1 species
AACGCGAAGAACCUUACCUGGGCUAGAAUGCUGGUGGACCGAGGGUGAAAGCUCUUUUUGUAGCAAUACACCGCCAGUAAGGUGCUGCAUGGCUGUCGUCAGCUCGUGCCGUGAGGUGUUGGGUUAAGUCCCGCAACGAGCGCAACCCCCAUCACUAGUUGCCAUCAGGUAAUGCUGGGAACUCUAGUGAAACUGCCGUCGUAAGACGUGAGGAAGGAGGGGAUGAUGUCAAGUCAUCAUGGCCUUUAUGCCCAGGGCUACACACGUGCUACAAUGGGGAGGACAAAGGGCAGCAACACGGUGACGUGAAGCUAAUCCCAAAAACCUCCUCUCAGUUCAGAUUGGAGUCUGCAACUCGACUCCAUGAAGCUGGAAUCGCUAGUAAUCGUAUAUCAGCAAUGAUACGGUGAAUACGUUCCCGGGCCUUGUACACACCGAGACGUA